rfam:Triticum aestivum genome assembly, contig: Triticum_aestivum_CS42_TGACv1_scaffold_361312_4DS
CAAGUACUCCCUCCGUCCGGAAUUACUUGUCAUCAAAAUGGAUGUGUCUAGAACUAAAAUGCAUCUAGAUACAUCCACUUCGAUGACAAGUAUUUUCGGAUGGAGGGAGUACAAG